rnacentral:tRNA from 1 species
AAUAAAAUGCCUGAUUAAAGGCUUAUUUUGAUAGAAUAAAUUAUGCACUAAGUGCUUUUAUUA